rnacentral:rRNA from 1 species
AUUGAACGCUGGCGGCAUGCCUUACACAUGCAAGUCGAACGGUAACAGGUCUUCGGAUGCUGACGAGUGGCGAACGGGUGAGUAAUACAUCGGAACGUGCCCGAGAGUGGGGGAUAACGAGGCGAAAGCUUUGCUAAUACCGCAUACGAUCUCAGGAUGAAAGCAGGGGACCGCAAGGCCUUGCGCUCACGGAGCGGCCGAUGGCAGAUUAGGUAGUUGGUGGGAUAAAAGCUUACCAAGCCGACGAUCUGUAGCUGGUCUGAGAGGACGACCAGCCACACUGGGACUGCGACACGGCCCAGACUCCUACGGGAGGCAGCAGUGGGGAAUUUUGGACAAUGGGCGCAAGCCUGAUCCAGCCAUGCCGCGUGCAGGAUGAAGGCCUUCGGGUUGUAAACUGCUUUUGUACGGAACGAAAAGACUCUGGUUAAUACCUGGGGUCCAUGACGGUACCGUAAGAAUAAGCACCGGCUAACUACGUGCCAGCAGCCGCCGCCGUAA